AGAGUUUGAUCAUGGCUCAGGACGAACGCUGGCGGCGUGCUUAACACAUGCAAGUCGAACGGAAAGGCCCGCUUGCGGGUACUCGAGUGGCGAACGGGUGAGUAACACGUGGGCAACCUGCCCUCAGCUCUGGGAUAACUCCGGGAAACCGGUGCUAAUACUGGAUAUCAACUUUGCCUCGCAUGGGGUGUUGUUGAAAGUUUUUCGGCUGGGGAUGGGCCCGCGGCCUAUCAGCUUGUUGGUGGGGUGAUGGCCUACCAAGGCGACGACGGGUAGCCGGCCUGAGAGGGCGACCGGCCACACUGGGACUGAGACACGGCCCAGACUCCUACGGGAGGCAGCAGUGGGGAAUAUUGCGCAAUGGGCGGAAGCCUGACGCAGCGACGCCGCGUGAGGGAUGACGGCCUUCGGGUUGUAAACCUCUUUCAGCUCUGACGAAGCGUGAGUGACGGUAGGAGCAGAAGAAGCACCGGCCAACUACGUGCCAGCAGCCGCGGUA
rnacentral:rRNA from 1 species